CCAACAGUUGCCCCCUUUACUAAAUUGAAGGACCCAAUUUCAGCUCUCUCUCUCUCUCUCUCUAUGGGUCUUUCUCUCCAUGGCUCUCCCACUCUAUCUCGAUUUCAGUAACUCCCAAUAAUAUAAGUACUAGAAAAUCACCUCAGAGAUGCCAAAAAUGUUUUUUUAUUUUUUUUUAUGUUGUGUUUUUAUAUUCCAGGCCAAACGACAUCGUUUUUCUGAAGAAACAGAUGGAGUGAAGAAAGCCAAUAGCCAUCAUUCAAAUGGACCUUGUAAGAGUACUGGAAACUUGCAGUGCCGGAAGAGUGUGGUUCAAAGUGUGCUCAAGUCAGCAGUUGAGAGAGCUUCAUUAUCCUAAGUGUGGUAUCUUUUGCUGCAGUGUCGAGCAACGUUCCUCCGUUCUGAUUUCGUGUUUUUCAAUUUAUUUUUUGUUUUGUUUUGUUUUGUUUCCUAUUCCGAACCAGAUUGGAACAGACUUAGAGUGCUCUUGUACUUGUAAUCUUCUUAUUCAAUUAGUGAAAAACCCUAGCAACCUCGUGGACGUAGCUCAAUUAUGAGUGAACCACGUAAAACUUUGGUGUUGGAUUUGUGUGUGAAUGUUUGUUUGUUCUUUUGAUUC